GACGAACGCUGGCGGCGUGCUUAACACAUGCCAGUCGAACGGAAAGGCCCUGCUUUUGUGGGGUGCUCGAGUGGCGAACGGGUGAGUAACACGUGAGUAACCUGCCCUUGACUUUGGGAUAACUUCAGGAAACUGGGGCUAAUACCGGAUAGGAGCUCCUGCUGCAUGGUGGGGGUUGGAAAGUUUCGGCGGUUGGGGAUGGACUCGCGGCUUAUCAGCUUGUUGGUGGGGUAGUGGCUUACCAAGGCUUUGACGGGUAGCCGGCCUGAGAGGGUGACCGGCCACAUUGGGACUGAGAUACGGCCCAGACUCCUCGGGAGGCAGCAGUGGGGAAUAUUGCACAAUGGGCGGAAGCCUGAUGCAGCAACGCCGCGUGCGGGAUGACGGCCUUCGGGUUGUAAACCGCUUUCGCCUGUGACGAAGCGUGAGUGACGGUAAUGGGUAAAGAAGCACCGGCUAACUACGUG
rnacentral:rRNA from 1 species